rnacentral:rRNA from 1 species
UACGUAGGUGGCAAGCGUUGUCCGGAUUUAUUGGGUUUAAAGGGUGCGUAGGCGGCCUAUUAAGUCAGUGGUGAAAAUAUCUCAGCUCAACUGAGAGUGUGCCAAUGAUACUGAUGGGCUUGAGUACAGAUGAGGUAGGCGGAAUUGACGGUGUAGCGGUGAAAUGCUUAGAUAUCGUCAAGAACACCUAUAGCGAAGGCAGCUUACUAGGCUGUAACUGACGCUGAGGCACGAAAAGUGUGGGGGAUCAAAACAGGG